UACGAAGGGGGCUAGCGUUGCUCGGAAUUACUGGGCGUAAAGGGAGCGUAGGCGGACAGUUUAGUCAGAGGUGAAAGCCCAGGGCUCAACCUUGGAAUUGCCUUUGAUACUGGCUGUCUUGAGUACGGGAGAGGUGUGUGGAACUCCGAGUGUAGAGGUGAAAUUCGUAGAUAUUCGCAAGAACACCAGUGGCGAAGGCGGCUUACUGGUCCGGUUCUGACGCUGAGGCGCGAAAGCGUGGGGAUCAAACAGG
rnacentral:rRNA from 1 species